rnacentral:rRNA from 1 species
CCCCUAGAUGUUCUGGGCCGCACGCGCGCUACACUGAACAGUUCGACAAGUCUUAACCUUGGCCGAUAGGUCUGGGUAAUCUUUGAACGCUGUUCGUGAUUGGGAUAGACCUUUGCAAUUAUGGGUCUUCAACGAGGAAUUCCUAGUAAACGCAAGUCAUCAGCUUGCAUUGAUUACGUCCCUGCCCUUUGUACACACCGCCCGUCGCACCUACCGAUUGAAUGGUCCGGUGAAAUCUCGGGACGGCGGCUUGGUCGCUUGCGUCCGACUGCUGAAACUUGAUUAAACCAUAUCAUUUAGAGGAAGGUGAANUCGUAACA